rnacentral:lncRNA from 10 species
AACUGACACUUGGAGAGGUAGAGUAGCUUUAUUUACUUCACACAAGCUUUUGAUGAAUUUCAAGUCUCAACCUAGAAGUCUUCCUCUAAGGGAAAUUAAUGUUAUGACUGGAUAAGACAAUUGUGAAGAAACUGCACUUCGAGGUUGUCUGUCUCCGUAUUCCGAUGGAAAAGGCUGGACUUUAGAAGCAUUGCUCGCUCCUUCAGUUUCUAACAAGAGUUUUACAGUUUCUGAUUAAAUACCAAUGGGAUAUCACCUCCCAUCUCUUAGGAUGGCUGUUAUAAAAAGGACAAGAGAUAACAAGUGUUGGUGAUGGUGUGGAGAGAAGGGAACCUUUGUACACUGCUG